AUUCAUUCAUUUAUCCUCUUUGUUCAGGCAAUUACUUUGUCAAACUGCAUUGUUGCUCACAAUAAUGACUUGUUCGCUUUGCUGGUGUCCUAUAAUUUUGCCGAGAUAAAAAGCAAUGUGUUCAAGCGAUAUAGUAAGGAAAACAUUCAUAGCCUGGUAUACUUUGAUUCUGUGGAGAGGUUCCACAUUUAUGCAUUUAUCAUAUUCAUCCUAGCUCAAAACAUUCUGGAGGAAACAUUUGAUGGGAAACUGUUUUAACAUUUUUGGUACUGCAGAACGCUGGUGUGGUAUUCGUCUGUGAAAUGAUCAUCGAUAUCGUAAAGCACUCGUUCAUUGCUAAGUUCAAUGACAUAAAGCCCUUUGCAUACUCUGAGUUUCUUGAAGGACCUAUGCAAGCAGAGUGGGAUUGGAGAUUUGAAAGGUGGAAGUGCGGGACGAGAACCUGAAUA